rnacentral:rRNA from 1 species
UACAGAGGUCCCAAGCGUUGUUCGGAUUCACUGGGCGUAAAGGGUGCGUAGGCGGCCGGGUAAGUCUGAUGUGAAAUCCCGCAGCUCAACUGCGGAACUGCAUCGGAUACUCUCCGGCUAGAGGAAUGGAGGGGAGACUGGAAUUCUCGGUGUAGCAGUGAAAUGCGUAGAUAUCGAGAGGAACACCAGUGGCGAAGGCGGAUCUCUGGGCCAUUACUGACGCUGAGGAGCGAAAGCGUGGGGAGCGAACAGG